rnacentral:rRNA from 1 species
GAGUUUGAUCCUGGCUCAGGAUGAACGCUGGCGGCGUGCUUAACACAUGCAAGUCGAACGGGGUACCCAUGACGGAGGCUUCGGCCAACUGAAUGGACUACCUAGUGGCGGACGGGUGAGUAACGCGUGAGGAACCUGCCUUGGAGUGGGGAAUAACAGUUAGAAAUAGCUGCUAAUACCGCAUAAUGCAUUUGGAUCGCAUGAUCUGGGUGCCAAAGAUUUAUCGCUCUGAGAUGGCCUCGCGUCUGAUUAGGUAGUUGGCGGGGUAACGGCCCACCAAGCCGACGAUCAGUAGCCGGACUGAGAGGUUGGCCGGCCACAUUGGGACUGAGACACGGCCCAGACUCCUACGGGAGGCAGCAGUGGGGAAUAUUGGGCAAUGGGCGCAAGCCUGACCCAGCAACGCCGCGUGAAGGAAGAAGGCCCUCGGGUUGUAAACUUCUUUUAUCAAGGACGAAACAAAUGACGGUACUUGAUGAAUAAGCCACGGCUAACUACGUGCCAGCAGCCGCGGUAAUACGUAGGUGGCAAGCGUUAUCCGGAUUUACUGGGUGUAAAGGGCGUGUAGGCGGGACUGCAAGUCAGAUGUGAAAACCAUGGGCUCAACCCAUGGCCUGCAUUUGAAACUGUAGUUCUUGAGUGUUGGAGAGGCAGGCGGAAUUCCGUGUGUAGCGGUGAAAUGCG